rfam:Clostridium sp. FS41 CLFS41_contig000039, whole genome shotgun sequence.
AUGAUGAUACUUCCGUCCAGUCACAGCCCCUCUUGACCGAGGGAUCACGCAAUGAGGACGGCAGCCGGAGAUCCCGGCUGGGGCAGCAAAAGAAGCUGUGCCCAUGA